rnacentral:rRNA from 1 species
CCUGAGAAACCCAAAAGAUCGAAUGGGGAGAUUCAUCGUCAGCUCAUUUUGUAUAUAUAUAAGUUAUGAUAUGGGUUACUACUUGUAGUAUUGCCUAUACAUUCUUGUAUAUUUUAUUGCAAGAUGUUGUCGGCGUGCACUUCUCCCCUAGUAGGACGUCGCGACCCGUUGAGUGUCGGUCUACGGCCCGAGUGGUAGCCUUUAAUUCUUGUAAUUAAAGACCCUUGGUGUUUCCUGACUGGCUGCUCGGCGGUAUUCGUACGGUAUUAAGCCGCAUUUAUGCGUUCAUAUCCGUCGCAAGCGCGGUCAAUUUUUAGUAGUACGGACUUAGUGCCGUCGCUUAAAUUGAUCAGCUGUUGGUUGUACGGUAUUCUAGAACUGGCUUAAAUAUAUACCGGUCUGCGAUGCUACUGCUUUGGGUACUU